GUGCUCACGUCGGCAGCACAUACACUAAAAUUGGAACGAUACAGAGAGGAUUAGUGUGGCCCGUGCACAGGGCUGACAGGCAAGUUGGUGAAGCCUUCCGUAUUUCU
ensembl:snRNA U6 U6 spliceosomal RNA